GGAAGUAAAAGUCGUAACAAGGUUUCCGUAGGUGAACCUGCGGAAGGAUCAUUAAAGAGUAAGGGUGCUCAGCGCCCGACCUCCAACCCUUUGUUGUUAAAACUACCUUGUUGCUUUGGCGGGACCGCUCGGUUCCGAGCCGCUGGGGAUUCGUCCCAGGCGAGUGCCCGCCAGAGUUAAACCAAACUCUUGUUAUUAAACCGGUCGUCUGAGUUAAAAUUUUGAAUAAAUCAAAACUUUCAACAACGGAUCUCUUGGUUCUCGCAUCGAUGAAGAACGCAGCGAAAUGCGAUAAGUAAUGUGAAUUGCAGAAUUCAGUGAAUCAUCGAAUCUUUGAACGCACAUUGCGCCCCUUGGUAUUCCGAGGGGCAUGCCUGUUCGAGCGUCAUUACACCACUCAAGCUAUGCUUGGUAUUGGGUGCCGUCCUUAGUUGGGCGCGCCUUAAAGACCUCGGCGAGGCCACUCCGGCUUUAGGCGUAGUAGAAUUUAUUCGAACGUCUGUCAAAGGAGAGGAACUCUGCCGAUUGAAACCUUUAUUUUUCUAGGUUGACCUCGGAUCAGGUAGGGAUACCCGCUGAACUUAAGCAUAUCAAUAAGCGGAGGA
rnacentral:rRNA from 1 species